UGGUGUUUAUGCUGACUGGCCUUUGUCCUUUUAGUUUGUCCUUACUUAUGACGCUAUCACGCAGCUCCAUAUUGAAUUUGUGUGCCACCAAAUCGGUCCCAAUGUCCCAUCUGCAUAGCUAGCUACCAAAUAUUGGUUGUCUGUUCGUGAUUUUGAAAAUGUCAACAAAUCCGUUAGUCCACAAGUAUGCGAGCGGUUCACAAAAGCUUACUUUUGCACAAGGAAAAAGGGAACGAGCACAAGAAAUGAAUACGCGUUUUCAAGCAGCCUGCUAGUAUUAGCAGUAGUUGAAUAGUAAGAAACGGGGGAGUGGGCCGCAGAGAGCAAACCAGCCCUGUUGGCGAGAACGAUCAGGAGCAAGUUCCUAACAGCGAAACCACCGCCGGUGAAGACGGUUCGGCUACUGCACCAGUUAGUGAUCAUGGUACCCUGCGCAUGUUACGUGUGGACUAGGCCUUAGCUAAGCUAAACUAAGCUAAGGCCUAGUCCACACGUACACAGGCAUUUCUUUUUUAAACGGGGAACUUUCGUCCAAACGUAAACUGCAUUUUAGGUCACUGAAAACGGACCUUUUGGAAAAACUCCUUCCAUGGUGAAGAUAUUCAGAAAGUCCGUUUUAAGUGUUUACAGGGAAAAUUCAGAUUUUGGCUUGUAACGUCAGAACGUGCGCCGUUAUCUCCAGUUUGACAUCGAUGUGCGCCGUUAUCUCCUUUGUUUACAUGAGGCGAUUUUGGUGCAAUGGCGCAAAUAGUCAAAUAGUGCUGUUUUUAAUCUUGCUAACAGGAUGUUUUCACAAACGUACUGUUACUCUCCCACUAUAUUGAGGAACAGGAGCAAAGGAGUGGCAUUCCGAUGGAGUUUGCAUGGUGGCUGCCCCUUAUGCUGACAAACAAGCAGCCAAAGGAUGGAAGCAGUGCGAGAACUGUUUGAAACAGCGAGUUGGAGGCCAGGAGUGGAGGUCCAACCUACGACUUCCAAGUCAAAUUGAAGAAAGUAACAGUCACGGAAGUAGGCUGAUUGAGUAUAACACAAAACAACAAUCCUGCAGUCCUGUAAUACUUUCAAUGACCUCAAAGCUGUCCUCAACCAGGUGUGUGUGGGAAGGUCUUCACACCGGACCCGACAACCCAAGUGAACCGGUGGUGGAAAUGUUGUUGAUCGGGGCCUACAAUCCAUAUCCAGGCUCUAAAUUAUUACGAGGGCCCACCUGUAGACCUCCUCUAAUCUCUCCAUCUCUUUCCUUGCCCCUCUAUUCUCUCUUCCUAUUCCCUUCUCCAUCAAUUCUCUCUU